UGUGUGUGUGUGUGUGUGUGUGUGUGUACAUACACAUGCACACACACACACACACACA
rnacentral:miRNA from 1 species